rnacentral:rRNA from 1 species
GACGUAGGGCGCGAGCGUUGUCCGGAUUUAUUGGGCGUAAAGGGUGCGUAGGCGGCGCGGUAAGUCGGGUGUGAAAUCUCGGGGCUUAACUCCGAAACUGCAUUCGAUACUGCCGUGCUUGAGGACUGGAGAGGAGACUGGAAUUUACGGUGUAGCGGUGAAAUGCGUAGAUAUCGUAAGGAAGACCAGUGGCGAAGGCGGGUCUCUGGACAGUUCCUGACGCUGAGGCACGAAGGCCAGGGGAGCAAACGGG